rnacentral:ribozyme from 1 species
UCUCUUUCUCUCCCUCUGCCUCUCUUAGAAAGAAUGGCCAUGAUGAGACUUUCUUUGUUGGGAAUGGGAAGAUCUUCCCCUCUUCUCCUCCGCC